rnacentral:rRNA from 1 species
UGGGGAAUUUUGGACAAUGGGCGAAAGCCUGAUCCAGCAAUGCCGCGUGUGUGAAGAAGGCCUUCGGGUUGUAAAGCACUUUUGUCCGGAAAGAAAUCCUUGGCUCUAAUACAGUCGGGGGAUGACGGUACCGGAAGAAUAAGCACCGGCUAACUACGUGCCAGCAGCCGCGGUAAUACGUAGGGUGCAAGCGUUAAUCGGAAUUACUGGGCGUAAAGCGUGCGCAGGCGGUUUGCUAAGACCGAUGUGAAAUCCCCGGGCUCAACCUGGGAACUGCAUUGGGUGACUGGCAGGCUAGAGUAUGGCAGAGGGGGGUAGAAUUCCACGUGUAGCAGUGAAAUGCGUAGAGAUGUGGAGGAAUACCGAUGGCGAAGGCAGCCCCCUGGGCCAAUACUGACGCUCAUGCACGAAAGCGUGGGGAGCAAACAGGAUUAGAUACCCUGGUAGUCCACGCCCUAAACGAUGUCAACUAGUUGUUGGGGAUUCAUUUCCUUAGUAACGUAGCUAACGCGUGAAGUUGACCGCCUGGGGAGUACGGUCGCAAGAUUAAACUCAAAGGAAUUGACGGGGUCAUAGCUGUUUCCU